rnacentral:rRNA from 1 species
UACGUAGGGUGCGAGCGUUGUCCGGAAUUAUUGGGCGUAAAGAGCUUGUAGGUGGUUUGUCGCGUCUGCUGUGAAAAUCCGAGGCUCAACCUCGGACUUGCAGCCGAUACGGGCAGGCUAGAGUUCGGUAGGGGAGACUGGAAUUCCUGGUGUAGCGGUGAAAUGCGCAGAUAUCAGGAGGAACACCGGUGGCGAAGGCGGGUCUCUGGGCCGAUACUGACGCUGAGGAGCGAAAGCGUGGGGAGCGAACAGG